rnacentral:rRNA from 1 species
CGCGAAUUCGCCCUUCGGGGUGCAGCAGGCGCGAAAACUCUACAACGCUGGCAACUGCGAUAGGGGAACAUCGAGUGGCACCCACCAUGGGUGUCUGUCCAGCCGUCUAAAAAACGGCUGUUAGCAAGGGCCGGGCAAGACCGGUGCCAGCCGCCGCGGUAAUACCGGCGGCUCGAGUGGUGGCCGAUAUUAUUGAGUCUAAAGGGUCCGUAGCCGGCUUUGCAAGUCCCCUGGGAAAUCCAGCGGCUUAACCGUUGGGCUUUCAUGGGAUACUACAUUGCUUGGGACUGGGAGAGGUAGGAGGUACUCAGGGGGCAGGGGUGAAAUCCUGUAAUCCUCUGGGGACCGCCGGUGGCGAAGGCGUCCUACCAGAACAGGUCCGACGGUGAGGGACGAAAGCUAGGGGCACGAACCGGAUUAGAUACCCGGGUAGUCCUAGCCGUAAACGAUGCUCGCUAGGUGUCACGGCAGUCGUGAAUUGUCGUGGUGCCGUAGGGAAGCCGUGAAGCGAGCCACUUGGGAAGUACGACCGCAAGGUUGAAACUUAAAGGAAUUGGCGGGGGAGCAC